CACAUGCUGUAACCGCUCCAGACAGGUAUGAAGUGUGAAGCAAUGCUUCACCACCUGAUUUAGGCGAGUCUGAGACAUGAG
rnacentral:sRNA from 1 species